AACGAGGCGGAUCAUAUUGAGUGGUGUAAGAUCGAUGAUUCUAUGAGAAAUCCUCUGGCUGGCUUCUGAAGUGAGCGUGUGAAGUGAGCACCAGAACAUGGGACUUCUGGAUUGUCCCUAAAUCCUGGGCAGCAACUCUACAGGCAGAACUGGCCAUCGAUUUUUACUGGCCAUCGAUGGCCCAAAGAAUUUCUUCUGAAUUGGUUAAAGUUCAGGUUGAGCUGGUUGAGCCUCCAAAAUAUGCAGUCGCGGGGGAGAAGCUGACCUUUGCUGGGUACUCCGGAUGAGCGUCGUAAGAUGAUGAGGAAGCAAUCCUAGACAAAAAAAAAACCAUGUUGCACUAGGCAGGUGAUGCCGUGUUACAAACAGAAUCUAAGUUUGCUUGCCACUAUGAACACCGGAACUCUGUUAGGUUCUUUGACCGUGCAAUGGUGCUUCUUUGGAAACUCCAUAUUAGGCAAUGUCACUGGCAUCUUAUCUGAUUGCUGCAAUAUGCCUUUCUUUUUAUAGAGUGACAUGUUGUUUCUACGAAAAAUCUGAAC